rnacentral:rRNA from 1 species
GAGAUAACUCUCUCUAAGGAACUCGGCAAAAUAACCCCGUAACUUUGGGAGAAGGGGUACCCUAUGGGUUGCAAUAACAAGGUCCAAGCGACUGUUUAUCAAAAACACAGGUCCAUGCGAAGUCGUAAGACGAUGUAUAUGGACUGACUCCUGCCCGGUGCUGGAAGGUUAAGAGGAGGAGUGCAAGCUCUGAAUUGAAGCCCCAGUAAACGGCGGCCGUAACUAUAACGGUCCUAAGGUAGCGAAAUUCCUUGUCGUGUAAGUUCCGACCUGCACGAAUGGCGUAACGACUUCCCCGCUGUCUCCAACAUAGACUCAGUGAAAUUGAAUUCCCCGUGAAGAUGCGGGGUUCCUGCGGUCAGACGGAAAGACCCCGUGCACCUUUACUAUAGCUUCACACUGGCAUUCGCCAAGGCAUGUGUAGGAUAGGUGGUAGGCUUUGAAACUCUCACGCCAGUGGGGGUGGAGCCAUCCUUGAAAUACCACCCUUAUC